UUCCAACCGUGCUGCAUUCAUA
rnacentral:piRNA from 1 species